GGGGCGAUAGGGAACGCCAGCGCGCGGCGGUCGGCAAGUUCGAGUCUUGCCCGCCCCCA
rnacentral:tRNA from 1 species